rnacentral:rRNA from 1 species
UACGAAGGGGGGCUAGCGUUGCUCGGAAUCACUGGGCGUAAAGGGUGCGUAGGCGGGUCUUUUAAGUCAGGGGUGAAAUCCUGGAGCUCAACUCCAGAACUGCCUUUGAUACUGAAGAUCUUGAGUUCGGGAGAGGUGAGUGGAACUGCGAGUGUAGAGGUGAAAUUCGUAGAUAUUCGCAAGAACACCAGUGGCGAAGGCGGCUCACUGGCCCGAUACUGACGCUGAGGCACGAAAGCGUGGGGAGCGAUCCGG